rnacentral:rRNA from 1 species
GACGAACGCUGGCGGCGUGCCUAAUACAUGCAAGUCGAACGCAGUGGGGACGGGUGAGUAACACGUGGGUAACCUCCCAUCAGAGGGGAUAACACUUGGAAACAGGUGCUAAACCGAUACUGAUGGAUGGAACCGCGGUGCAUGAGCGAGUUGGUGAGGUACCGGCUCACCAAGGCCACGAUGCAUAGCGGACCGGAGAGGGUGACCGGCGAAACGGGGACUGUGACACGGCCAAGACGCCGACGGGAGGCAGCAGUAGGGAAUCUUCGGCAAUGGACGAAAGGCUGAACGAGCAACGCCGCGUGAGUGAAGAAGGUUUUCGGAUCGUAAAACUCUGUUGUUAGAGAAGCGGUAUCUAACCAGAAAGCCACGGCUAACUACGUGCCAGCAGCCGCGGUAAUUC